GCUGGUUGAAAAUCACUUUUUUAAAAUAUUAUUUUUCAUUAAGGGGUCACGUCCAUAUUCAUAUUGCCACGCAUAACGUCGAAUCGACGUUAUGAGUGGGUGGGUGGGUUUAUCUAAAUUCUCUCGACAUUAUCUCGAUAAUCUCGUGGCAAAAUGACAAUUUUGUGAAAGUUUUGAAGAAUGUGACUGCCACGCUGGACGUUAUUUAGGGUGGGUGGGUUUGAGUGUUAACACCGAUUCGACGUUAUGCGUGGCAACAUGAAUAUGGACGUGACCCCUAAUAUAAUGCCUCAUAGAGACUCAAAAAGGAUCGUGCACUGAUUUAUACUAUCUUGUAUAUUCCCGGGCGUUCUCACGUGCUUCCGGGCGCUUCAGGGCGUCCCCGGGCACUUCUGGGCGUCCCCGGGCGCUCCGGGCAGUAUUUAGUACGACCGUCUGUAUUUGGCUUUUAUUAUUUAGGGGCGACAUCCAUACUCACAUUGCCACGCAAAACGUCAUUUUGACGUUUUCGUUUUGACCCACCCACC